AUUUAUCCCUGAGAGAUUUUUAAAAUUCUUAUUUUAAAAAGCCGAAGGCUUACCGCCUUUUAAGGGUGAGAGAUUUGAAGAAACAAAAGUUCCGACAGCGCUCCAAAUAGUCUUAACUGUGAGAGGUCCCUGGGGAAUUGGGGCGAUUCGUGAUUGGUCGAAGGGGUUUUCGGGACUGUGACGCGUUCGUGCUGCUCUGAUCGCGACGCGACUAAUCUUAUUCGAUGUAGAAUGACUUUUUACAUAGGUAAUGACUAAAUUUUUUAACUAUUAACGAAAAUAACGAGAGAUUGGGAGCAAAAAGGGGAAAAAAAGGGGAAACUUCUAAAAUAGAGGAAAAAAAUGUCUUCUAAAAUUAGAGGAUGCAACCACCGCUAAACAAAAGAAGAACUUUCCGUUUAACCGAAAAGACUAAAUUUGCAUUACGUUAUUUGUGGUUCGCGAGAUAUUUGACCAAGAAAAAGACACCCAGAUUGACUUUGAGUUGAUUGUUUGUUGACUAGCAGACGACGAUAACUUUUAUCGGUGUGGCGUGUGAGUACUAGCUACUGGGGCGACUGGGUAUUCAUUGGAAUUCAUCGAUCUAAUGAUUCUAAUAAGAAAAAAAAACCAUGCCUCCAGUGUCACAACUGAUUAUUCCUUUACCCAUCAAAUGCCAGAUUGGCACAUAGUUCAAAUGUGGGUGCUGAAUGAACUGGUAAACAUAAAAAAUGGAAUUGACAAUAGAUUACAUUUAUCAUCAGACAUCUCUCCCUUUCCUAUGUCUUGAAGAUGACGACAAGUUGCCAGUUGAUUUACAUGUCACCUUUACUGAUAUCCUAGCACACCAUACUUUAUUUGGCAUUAAAAAAAGGUUUCCCUUCUGGGUUCCCUCAUUUAAAAGGCCUUGAUGAUGUAAUGGUGCUAUGCCAAAAUUUUAUCAACGUAGAGAAAUUAAAGCUGCAGCUGUGGGAAAUGGAAUUGACAAUUACAUUCAUCACAGACACAUUUCAGUUUCAGAAAGUGGAGUUUUGUCUUGAAGAUGACAAAAGUUGCCCGUUGAUUUACAUGUCACCUUAAGUGAUGUCAUAGCAGCUACUUGUCAUUUAAAUAGCAUACUUCAAUUUCAGAAAAUUUUGUCUUGAAGAUGACAAGUUGCCAGUCAAUAUACAUAAAACCCUAAGUGAUAUCAUAACAGGAACUUGUCGCCCGGAAGUAUUUGAGACUUGACCAACAUGGACGACGUGCCCUGGGAGAACCUUCAACACGCACUCGCCCUCCUUGCGUUCCCUUCUGACACUCGGGUAUCACCACACAAGGAGUUGCUCGAUGCGUCGAGGUGGAAUGCCUCGAUUGAAAAAUUUCGUCAAGACUAUUUCCGCCUCUAUCAGUUGGCUCCAUUGUCUGUGUUGGCUGUUGCGUUGCAAGCUGGUCUCUCCACAAUGAAAACUCCGCAAUGUUAUCGCCCAAUGGAUCAGAGGAAUGUUGAAUGUCCCAUGUGCCAAGAACUAUUGAACAAGUUUGCUGAACGAUUACUCACGCUCAUUGCUCACAAUCAAGAUAGAUCUGUCGCUUUUCGGGCUUAUCUCUUAACGAACAUAACUUACCUAUGAUGCUACCCAACGGUCGUGUGUACGGAGAGCAGACAUUUAUCAGUUUUCGUGCACAAGUUCAACCAUAUUGUGUUUGUUUUUGAAUCAAUAGGCCUUGCGGACUAUACCUAAGGUGCUCGCAGCAAAGAAGUCUUCGCUGUCAAAGAUGUAGAGAAAGUUUAUGUUAUGUAGUGUUUUUUAUGUACUUAGUAAUACAUUAUUUUCGUGAACGGA